AGAAAACUUCAACAUACGGUAGCCCUGUCUGCACAUUCCCUCCCCUUCCACCCAGCCCCCACCUCUACCAAUAGUGCAUCUAACCAUCUAACUACUACAUAUGUUAGCUGAUUCAUUCUGAAACAUUCCCUAGACUCCAGCUAGUUUGGGGAUGAAGUAUGACAUUCCUGGCUGUGAUCCAGAGCUGAACUCUCCGCGGCAGAAAGCUGAAGUACAGGCUUUAUGGUUCCUUUGGUUAAGAGAAAUGAUGGGCAGAGUAUGGGGAGAAGUUGAAGCAGAAGCCAUGGUCUUUACCAGCAAUUCUAGUCAUCACUCUUUGUGGUGCAUGAGCAUCUUCGUGAUGCAUCUUGGUGCCCAUCACAGCCCCAUUCCUGAUGUCCCAACCAUGGUGCACAAAACGCAAGAGCAGCAAUUUGUGUCACUGACUCACAGCACGACAGGAACUCUCCACAGAUCCACCCUUCCUUCCUGUACUCUAUCAGCUGAAUCGGAGAGAAGUAGGGGAAUCACCAAAGGCAAAGCCAGUUUGCAGAGGGUGGCUGGAAAAAAAGAGAGGGAAAGCCAAGUUCAGCAGUAUUUAGACAUACUGAAACUUUGCUGCUAUAAGGGGAGGGGGCCAAGGAGGAAGGAGAAGUGUGACUAAGGCAAACAAUUAUGUGAGUAACUCCUUACAUCAAGAAGCAGUCUCCUAUUUUCUCUUUCAGUAAGAAAUCCUGGUUCCUCCUGGUUAGCAAUAUUCUCUUACUAAAAUAAAUAAAGGAAUAAAAAAAAUUCUUGCUUCUUU
rnacentral:lncRNA from 1 species